rnacentral:tRNA from 1 species
UAAAUGAAAAGUGAAACCUCACAACCAGCUUCGACCUGGCAAUUGGCAUAAAUGCCUUCAUUUAA